CAAGUUAGGAACAAGAACAGGAUUGGCGAUGAAUCUUAUGAGGAGACGAGGAUUGAAGAAGAGAGGCUUUUUGAGUCUCAUCCAAUGCUUUCAAAGAUUGACAAAUUCAUUGUUGGUGUUCUUGU